UACAGAGGGUGCAAACGUUGCUCGGAAUCAUUGGGCGUAAAGCGCACGUAGGCGGUCUGUUAAGUCGGGUGUGAAAUCCCCAGGCUCAACCUGGGAAGUGCACUCGAAACUGGCGGGCUUGAAUAUGGAAGAGGGUCGCGGAAUUCCCGGUGUAGAGGUGAAAUUCGUAGAUAUCGGGAGGAACACCCGUAGCGAAGGCGGCACUCUGGGCCGAUACUGACACUGAGGAGCGAAAGCGUGGGGAGCGAACAGG
rnacentral:rRNA from 1 species